rnacentral:lncRNA from 1 species
GCUCGCUGCAGGUUCUCCUGGCUCGGCGGCGCGGAGGCAAAGGCCUGUUUCUGCAAAGACUUUGUGAGGCCCCAUGACUCUUCCUCAACCUCCCGACCGCUGGAGGUCCCUGAUAGUUGAAUAAGCUAAGUGCAAUGUGCCCGCCCAGUUCUUUCCUGGAAGAUGAAACACAGCUCCCUGAGUCAGGAGACAGAAGAAUGGAUAAACAUUCCUCAAUUGCUGUUGAUAGGUUCUCACCCCAGAACCCAGGCAGUCGGCCUCAUGCUCCAGAGUGCAGGUCCCAUAAGGCACCCAAGGGGAGCCGUCAAUUAGAGCCGUGCUUGAGCCUAAGGCUGACCUGAACCGUUUGAAGGCAGAUCUUCCAUGGAGUGCCCCGGUCCUUUUCUGGAAAGGUCAAAGGGAUGAGAGGGGUCUCUGCAGUGUCCUGGAUCUGGUUUCAACCUCACCUUCUCCAUGUAUGAGAAGACAAGUCACUUGGAUUCACCAUGCCUCGGUUUCCCCAGAUGGCAAGCAGGACUCAGCCUUUUGGCCCAUGAGUCAGUGGCAGUGGGAUGGCGUUUGUUAACUGCUGAAAGAAAACCGUCAACACAGAAUUCUUUAUCCACUGAAAAUUUCCUUCAGGAAUGAAGAUGAAAUAAAGACAUUUGCAGAGGAAGGAAAACCAGGAGAAAUUCUCCCCAGCAAACCUGCUUGCUUAUUUGAUUUUGGUACCUGUCAUUAACCCUCAUAAAUAAAAUCUGCUAUUGUGAUA